rnacentral:tRNA from 1 species
AGGAAUGUGGUCUAACGGAAAAGACAGUAGCCUUUUAAGCUGUGUAUGCUGGUUCGAUUCCAGCCGUUCCUA